CCUCAUUCCUACCACCUAUCAGGAACGGUCCUUGGCCCACAUGUUCCAGCCUGGGGAACAGGAACAGUCCAGAGGUGACCAGCAGGGAGAGGGAGGUGAUCAGCUCUUGUGAGGCACCAUCUGCAGUACUGCAUCCAGGCCUGGGGUUCCCAGCACAGGAAGGACAUGGAGCUCUUGGAGCAGGUCCAGAGGAGGGCCACUAAGAUGAUCAGAGGGCUGAAGCACCUCUCCUAUGAGGAAAGGUUGAGGAAACUGGGCUUGUUUAGCUUGGAGAAGAGAAGGCUUCAGGGGGACCUCGUUGUGGCCUUCCAGUACUUGAAGGGAGCGUAUAAACAGGAGGGGGAACAGCUGACAAGGGGGAAUGGUUUUAAACUGAGACAGGGGAGGUUUAGGUUGGACAUAAGGAGGAAGUUUUUCCCCCAGAGGGUGGUGACGCACUGAACAGGUUGCCCAAGGAGGCUGUGGAUGCCCCAUCCCUGCAGGCAUUCAAGGCCAGGCUGGAUGUGGCUCUGGGCAGCCUGGUCUGCUGGCUGGCAACCCUGCACAUAGCAGGGGGUUGGAACGAGAUGAGCACUGUGGUCCUUUUCAACCCAGGCCAUUCUGUGAUUCUAUGAUUUGUUAGAGGAGAAAUUAUGUACCCAGCUCUGCAAACCAUUUUGUGAACAGCCAGCUCCCACUUCUUUUUAAGUUAGACAAGCUAAAGUCUUUGGUAAAAACUGUUUCUGGGUCUCAAUUAAUACAUUUAUUUUAAGCAUUUAAGUGACUUCUGUAUAACCUGCAGCUGCUGUUACAAUCCCAAAGAGAGGUUGGAGCUCAAAGGUGUUUCUCCUGUUACACUGCCAGAAACAUGAUGGAC
ensembl:lncRNA